rnacentral:rRNA from 1 species
CACGUAGGGCGCAAGCGUUGUCCGGAAUUAUUGGGCGUAAAGAGCUCGUAGGUGGUUUGCUGCGUCCGCUGUGAAAACCCAAGGCUUAACCUUGGGCUUGCAGUGGAUACGGGCAGACUAGAGGUAGGUAGGGGAGAAUGGAAUUCCCGGUGUAGCGGUGAAAUGCGCAGAUAUCGGGAGGAACACCGGUGGCGAAGGCGGGUCUCUGGGCCGUAACUGACGCUGAGGAGCGAAAGCGUGGGGAGCGAACAGG